rnacentral:tRNA from 1 species
GCGGGAGUGUCAGAGCGGUCAAAUGAGCUGGAUUCAGGGUUCAGUGGCUUAGUGCCUACGGAGGUUCGAUUCCUCCCUCCCGCA